rnacentral:rRNA from 1 species
CCUUUGACGUUAGCGGCGGACGGGUGAGUAACACGUGGGUAACCUACCUAUAAGACUGGGAUAACUUCGGGAAACCGGAGCUAAUACCGGAUAAUAUUUCGAACCGCAUGGUUCGAUAGUGAAAGGUGGUUUUGCUAUCACUUAUAGAUGGACCCGCGCCGUAUUAGCUAGUUGGUAAGGUAACGGCUUACCAAGUCGACGAUACGUAGCCGACCUGAGAGGGUGAUCGGCCACACUGGAACUGAGACACGGUCCAGACUCCUACGGGAGGCAGCAGGU